AUUGAACGCUGGCGGCAGGCUUAACACAUGCAAGUCGAACGAGUGGCGGACGGGUGAGUAAUGUCUGGGAAUCUAGCUUAUGGAGGGGGAUAACUACGGGAAACUGUAGCUAAUACCGCAUACCAUCGGAUGAGCCCAAGUGGGAUUAGGUAGUUGGUGGGGUAAUGGCUCACCAAGCCGACGAUCUCUAGCUGGUCUGAGAGGAUGACCAGCCACACUGGAACUGAGACACGGCCCAGACUCCUACGGGAGGCAGCAGUGGGGAAUAUUGCACAAUGGGGGCAAGCCUGACGCAGCCAUGCCGCGUGAAUGAAGAAGGCCUUCGGGUUGUAAAGUUCUUUCAGUAGGGAGGCGUUAACUGCAGAAGAAGCACCGGCUAACUCCGUGCCAGCAGCCGCGGUAAUAC
rnacentral:rRNA from 1 species